rnacentral:rRNA from 1 species
GACGAACGCUGGCGGCGUGCUUAACACAUGCAAGUCGAGCGGCGCGGCGAACGGGUGAGUAACGCGUGAGUAACUGCCCCCCUCUCUGGGAUCACAGUUGGAAACGGCUGCUAAUACCGGAUAGUGGGGGAUGAUUCGGGUCCUAUCGGCUUGUUGGUGGGGUAGUGGCAUACCAAGGCGACGACGGGUAGCCGACCUGGGAGGGGGACCGGCCACAUGGGGCUGCGAUAGGGCGCAGACGGCUACGGGAGGCAGCGGUGGGGAAUAUGGCACAGUGGGGGAAACUCUGAUGCAGCAACGUCGCGUGCGGGAUGACGGCCUUCGGGUUGUAAACCGCUUUCAGCCAUGACGCGGUAGUGGCAGAAGAAGCACCGGCUAACUACGUGCCAGCAGCCGCGGUAAUUC